CUAUGCGCCUUGCCAGCCCGCUCAGUCAGAGUUUGAUCCUGGCUCAGGACAAACGCUGGCGGGGUGCAUGAGACAUGCAAGUCGAACGAGGUGCCAUCGGGCUUGCUCGAUGGUUACCUAGUGGCGGACGGCUGAGUAACGCGUAGGUGACCUACCCGGAAGUGGGGGAAUAACUGCCCGAAAGGGUGGCUAAUACCGCAUGUGGUCGACGAUUCAAUUCGUCGUCUAAAGGAGUAAUCCGCUUCCGGCGGGGCCUGCGUCCGAUUAGCUAGUUGGUGGGGUAAUGGCUCACCAAGCGACGAUCGGUAGCUGGUCUGAGAGGAUGAUCAGCCAGACUGGGACUGAGAACGGCCCAG
rnacentral:rRNA from 1 species